CUUUUGGGCUUGGUAAUUGGAAUGAGGGAGAGUUAAACGGACCAUCGAGUAUCCAUUGGAGGGCAAGUCUGGUGCCAGCAGCUGCGGUAAUACCAGCUCCAAUAGCGUAUAUUAAAGUUGUUGCAGUUAAAAAGCUCGUAGUUGGACUUGUGUGCGCUGUCCGCGGGUGGCCUGCGCCCAAAAGGGCGUUUCGGUUCGGCCCCGGUGGCGCCUUGAAAUCUGCAGCUGGGGGGACGUUGGCCUUAACUGGUCGGCGACCGCACGCCGGCUGCUCUGUUACUGUGAGAAAAUUAGAGUGUUCAAGGCAGGCAUUGGGUGCAAUUGAAUACAUUAGCAUGGAAUAAUAAAAUAUGGCUCCUGCCGUAUUUUGUUGGUUUUGACUGGUGGGAGUAAUGAUUGAUAGGGACGGUUGGGGGUGCUAGUAUUGAGCGGCCAGAGGUGAAAUUCAUGGAUUCGCUCAAGACUAACUUAUGCGAAAGCAUUCACCAAGGACGUCCUCUUUAAUCAAGAACGAAAGUUGGGGGAUCGAAGACGAUCAGAUACCGUCGUAGUCUCAACCAUAAACUAUGUCGACUUGGGAUCGGCGGUAGUUUUUUCAUUAAGACACUGUCGGGACCACGGGAGAAAUCAAAGUGUCUGGACUCUGGGGGAAGUAUGGUCGCAAGGCUGAAACUUGAAGGAAUUGACGGAAGGGCACCACCAGGAGUGGAGCCUGCGGCUUAAUUUGACACAACACGGGGAAACUUACCAGGUCCAGAGAUGUAGAGGAUUGACAGAUUGAAGCUCUUUCUUGAUCACUUCGGUGGUGGUGCAUGGCCGUUCUUAGUUGGUGGAGUGAUUUGUCUGGUUAAUUCCGUUAACGAGCGAGACCUCAGCCUGCUAGUGUAGUCGGCUGGAUUGCCUUUGGCGAUCCGUGAUUUCGACUUCUUAGAGGGACAAUCGACGCGCAGUCGAUGGAAGUUUGAGGCAAUAACAGGUCUGUGAUGCCCUUAGAUGUUCUGGGCCGCACGCGCGCUACACUGCUGGGCUCAGCGAGUUUUACUUGGCCGAGAGGCCCGGUUAAUCUUGUGAAAUCCCAGCGUGCUUGGGCUCGCCUCCUGCAACUGGAGGCGCCAACGAGGAAUUCCUAGUAGACGCAGGUCAUCAACCUGCAUCGAUUACGUCCCUGCCCUUUGUACACACCGCCCGUCGUUCCAUAAGAGUGAGGCAUCCGGUGAAUUCUCGGGAGAGCCUGGGCGUGGCCAGCAAUGGUCUGCUCGGGUUUGAACUUGCAUAAACUUGGUGCCUAUGAUUAGGG
rnacentral:rRNA from 1 species